rnacentral:rRNA from 1 species
GAUGAACGCUAGCGAUAGGCUUAACACAUGCAAGUCGAGGGGCAGCAUGGUCUUAGCUUGCUAAGGCUGAUGGCGACCGGCGCACGGGUGCGUAACGCGUAUGCAACUUGCCUCACAGAGGGGGAUAACCCGUCGAAAGACGGACUAAUACCGCGUACACUCUAUGUUGGGCAUCCAAUGUAGAGGAAAUGAAAUUCGCUGUGAGAUAGGCAUGCGUCCCAUUAGCUAGUUGGUGAGGUAACGGCUCACCAAGGCGACGAUGGGUAGGGGAACUGAGAGGUGGAACCCCCACACUGGUACUGAGACACGGACCAGACUCCUACGGGAGGCAGCAGUGAGGAAUAUUGGUCAAUGGGCGAGAGCCUGAACCAGCCAAGUCGCGUGAAGGAUGACUGUCUUAUGGACUGUAAACUUCUUUUAUACGGGAAUAACAAGAGUCACGUGUGGCUCCCUGCAUGUACCGUAUGAAUAAGCAUCGGCUAACUCCGUG